UGGGGAAUAUUGGACAAUGGGCGAAAGCCUGAUCCAGCCAUGCCGCGUGUGUGAAGAAGGUCUUCGGAUUGUAAAGCACUUUAAGUUGGGAGGAAGGGCAGUAAGCGAAUACCUUGCUGUUUUGACGUUACCGACAGAAUAAGCACCGGCUAACUCUGUGCCAGCAGCCGCAGUAAUACAGAGGGUGCAAGCGUUAAUCGGAAUUACUGGGCGUAAAGCGCGCGUAGGUGGUUCGUUAAGUUGAAUGUGAAAGCCCCGGGCUCAACCUGGGAAAUGCAUCCAAAACUGGCGAGCUAGAGUAGGGCAGAGGGUGGUGGAAUUUCCUGUGUAGCGGUGAAAUGCGUAGAUAUAGGAAGGAACACCAGUGGCGAAGGCGACCACCUGGGCUCAUACUGACACUGAGGUGCGAAAGCGUGGGGAGCAAACAGG
rnacentral:rRNA from 1 species